UACGGAAUGUGCAAACGUUAUUCGGAAUCACUGGGCUUAAAGAGUCCGUAGGCGGCAUGUUAGGUGAGGUGUGAAAUCCCCCCGGCUCAACCGAGGAAUUGCGCUUCAAACCGGCGUGCUUGAGGAAGAUAGAGGUGGGCGGAACUGAUGGUGGAGCGGUGAAAUGCGUUGAUAUCAUCAGGAACACCGGAGGCGAAGGCGGCCCACUGGGUCUUUUCUGACGCUGAGGGACGAAAGCUAGGGGAGCGAACGGG
rnacentral:rRNA from 1 species